rnacentral:rRNA from 1 species
AAUUCCAGCUCCAAUAGUGUAUAAUAGAGUUGUUGCAGUUAAAAAGCUCGUAGUUGGAUUUCUGUCGUGGUCAUCCGGCCUUGCCCGUAGGGUGUGCGCCUGGGUUGCCCGCGGCUUACUUCCGGUAGCCUUCCGCGCUUCGCUGCGUGUGUUGGUGUUCCGGAACUUUUACUUUGAGAAAAAUAGAGUGUUUCAAGCAGGCUUGUCGCCCUGAAUACUGCAGCAUGGAAUAAUAAGAUAGGACCUUGGUUCUAUUUUGUUGGUUUCUAGGACCGAGGUAAUGAUUAAUAGGGACAGUUGGGGGCAUUCGUAUUUAACUGUCAGAGGUGAAAUUCUUAGAUUUGUUAAAGACGAACUACUGCGAAAGCAUUUGCCAAGGAUGUUUUCAUUAAUCAAGAACGACAGUAGGGGGUUUGAAGACGAUUAGAUACCGUCGUAAUCUCUACCAUAAACUAUGCCGACUAGAGAUAGGGAAACGCCUACCUUGGCUUCUCCUG